UUCCUAUCUCUUGGAACCUGCCUUACAAAGCAAAGUCUCGCCAAGUUGGCAAGGAAAAGGGCAAAUACAAGGAAGAAACCAUUGAAAAGAUGCAAGAAUAGAAUGGUCUCCUGUGUGUCACCCAUUAAAAGAACUGCUACAAUGAAA